rnacentral:rRNA from 1 species
GUGUGGGUAGGGGAGAAAUUCCAAUCGAACCCGGAGAUAGCUGGUUCUCCUCGAAAUAGCUUUAGGGCUAGCCUCGUUUUAGUCUUAUGGAGGUAGAGCACUGAAUUUCCGCGGGGGCGUCAAAGCUUACCAAAGAAUAUCAAACUCCGAAUGCCAUGUAGAUGAUGAACGGGAGUCAGACUGCACGAGAUAAGUUGGGCAGUCAAAAGGGAAAGAGCCCAGACCGCCAGCCAAGGUCCCAAAGUGUGUGUUAAGUGGAAAAGGAUGUGGGAUCUCCAAGACAACUAGGAUGUUGGCUCAGAAGCAGCCACACAUUCAAAGAGUGCGUAACAGCUCACUAGUCGAGAGGUCCUGCGCCGAAAAUGUCCGGGGCUGAAACACAACACCGAAGCUGCGGAAUUGCGAAUGCAAUUGGUAGAGGAGCAUUCUUAAUACCGACGAAGCUGUACCGGAAGGAGCAGUGGAGGGAUAAGAAGAGAGAAUGCCGGAAUGAGUAGCGAGAGAGAGGUGGGAAUCCUCUCGGCCGAAUAUCCAAGGUUUCCAGAGUAAAGCUGAUCUGCUCUGGGUAAGUCGGGGCCUAAGGCGAGGUCAAGAGACGUAGCCGAUGGACAACAGGUUUAGAUUCCUGUACCGCAUAUAAACAGAACUGUGGGGACGCAUGGGGAGAGCAUGGGCCGGGAAUGGAAAUACCGGUGCAAGCGAAGGAGGUGUGCAGCCGGCAAAUCCGCUGCAUGAGCCGAAAGCGUGACGCGGAGCGAAAUGAAAGUAGCGAAGCAUGUGAGCCCUGUGCCGAGAAAAGCCGCUAUAGCUUUAUAUGUGCCCGUACCGUAAACCGACACAGGUGGAUGAGGAGAGAAUCCUAAGGCCGGCGGAAGAAGUAUUGUUAAGGAACUCGGCAAAAUGACCCCGUAACUUCGGGAGAAGGGGUGCCCACGGGAGUGGGCCGCAGAGAAUAGGCUCAAGCAACUGUUUAGCAAAAACACAGGUCUAUGCGAAACCGAAAGGUGAAGUAUAUGGGCUGACGCCUGCCCGGUGCUGGAAGGUUAAGAGGAGAGGUUAGCGCAAGCGAAGCUUUGAAUUUAAGCCCCAGUAAACGGCGGCCGUAACUAUAACGGUCCUAAGGUAGCGAAAUUCCUUGUCGGGUAAGUUCCGACCCGCACGAAAGGCGUAAUGAUUUGAGCACUGUCUCGACAAUACAUCCGGUGAAAUUGAAGUGCCAGUGAAGAUGCUGGCUACCCGCGCCAGGACGGAAAGACCCCAUGGAGCUUUACUCCAGCUUGAUACUGGGAUUCGGUAUUGUAUGUACAGGAUAGGUGGGAGGCUGAGAAAUGGUGACGCCCAAUGCUCCAUACAGACAAAAUCUGUAGAGCGAGUGUUCCGCGGAGAGCGUACCACACUAAAAACAGCACAGGAAAUUGCAGCAGCUCUCAAAUGUAAGCCCGAAAAGCUGUUUCAUAUUGAACUGGAUCACCGCCCUAUUGCACGAAAAACCAUCAAGGAGUAUGCCAUCUUUCUGCGGCUCGUAAUGCAAUAUGCCGAACGCGAGUACGGCAUAGACAACGAUACCCAAACACUCGCGGUUAAAGGUACGCGCAGCCGCCCGGUAGACUGCCUGCACCCGGAAGAAGUAGAGGCUCUUUUUAAGGUGCUGCCGCGCUGUUCCACACUGGAGCAAGUCAUCGUUAUGGGGCUGCUGAAUACCGGAAUGCGGCGCGGUGAGUUAGCCGGGCUGACAUGGGAAGAUAUUGACUUCGACCACUGCACCGUCCAUGUGGAUAAGUCACUGCUCAUAGUGAACAAAGGCUAUCACCUAACGACCACGAAAGAGGAGAACGUCCGUGACAU